rnacentral:misc_RNA from 1 species
CGCAUCUUGCGCUCCUUGGUAUUCCGAGGAGCAUGCCUGUUUGAGUGUCAUUAAAUUCUCAAUCACACUAGUUGUUACAACUGGUUGUGACUUGGAUAUUGGGGGUAUAUAUUUGCGGGCUUCUUUUAUUGAGGUCGGCUCCCCUAAAAUAUAUUAGCGGAACUGUUUGCAGUCAGUCACAGGUGUGAUAAUUAUCUACACCCAAGACAAUGGUUGCUCUUUAUGGUGGUUCAGCUUCUAGUCGUCCAUUUAUGGACAACUUUUGAAUAUUUGACCUCAAAUCAGGUAGGAUUACCCGCUGAACUUAA